UGCAGUCGAGGGGUAUUAGGAGCUUGCUCCUAAGAGACCGGCGCACGGGUGCGUAACGCGUAUGCAAUCUACCUUGUACAGAGGAAUAGCCCAGAGAAAUUUGGAUUAAUGCCUCAUAGUAUAUUGGGUCGGCAUCGACCUAUUAUUAAAGAUUUAUCGGUACGAGAUGAGCAUGCGUCCCAUUAGUUAGUUGGUAAGGUAACGGCUUACCAAGACGAUGAUGGGUAGGGGUCCUGAGAGGGAGAUCCCCCACACUGGUACUGAGACACGGACCAGACUCCUACGGGAGGCAGCAGUGAGGAAUAUUGGGCAAUGGAGGCAACUCUGACCCAGCCAUGCCGCGUGCAGGAAGACGGUCCUAUGGAUUGUAAACUGCUUUUAUACGGGAAGAAACACUCCGACGUGUCGGAACUUGACGGUACCGUAAGAAUAAGGAUCGGCUAACUCCGUGCCAGCAGCCGCGGUAAUACGGAGGAUCCAAGCGUUAUCCGGAAUCAUUGGGUUUAAAGGGUCCGUAGGCGGCCUUAUAAGUCAGUGGUGAAAUCUCCUAGCUCAACUAGGAAACUGCCAUUGAUACUGUAGGGCUUGAAUUAUUGUGAAGUAACUAGAAUAUGUAGUGUAGCGGUGAAAUGCUUAGAUAUUACAUGGAAUACCAAUUGCGAAGGCAGGUUACUAACAAUCGAUUGACGCUGAUGGACG
rnacentral:rRNA from 1 species